UCGCCCAAAAUGCCUCUCACGGUUUCAACACGGAUGCGGUCUCGUGUGCAGCGUGUGAGCGGACACAAGCACGAAUGACGAGCCCGUCGGUCUCGUACCGAAUCCCUUCCCAGGGGCAUCCUUGUUGGAGUCGUCGUCGGCCCAUGCCGAUGCGUUCCACCUUUGGUCUCCUCGCGCUAACCCCGUAGCGUGUGGUUUUUAGCGGGCUCAUCAGCCCGCUUUUUUUCG
rnacentral:ncRNA from 18 species